rnacentral:tRNA from 1 species
GUGAGUAUAGCUCAGUGGUACAGUGCAUGCUUAACAUGCACGAGGUCUGGGGUUCAAUCCCCAGUACCUCCA